rnacentral:misc_RNA from 1 species
GGCGGCCUUUUAGCCAUUGCUUUGUUGAUCUGAUUUCAAGUUUUCCCGUGUGUUAAUAAAAGGUCAGAUUGAGGGCAUUUUGGUUAGAUCGACGCGUUGGCGUGUGAGUGGCCAAAUUAAUGUUUGCGUUGGCUGGCUCCUUGCUUGCACAGCGAACUGUCGGCGCAUACAUAUAUCAGUUGAGACGGAGUUGUGAUUGUUGGAUUUUUGUGUUGUCAACCCAAUUGGUGGAAUUCAUACGGCCCUGAAGUGUGGCUUCGCCGAACACCCUGUGAGGUGUUAGGCGGACGUUGAAGCUGUCCCUUUUUACGCCAUGCUCUCCCUUUUUCGGGAACCAUGGAAAAUUGGCGGUGUUGCGUGUUGCCUCGGAUGCAGAGCAUGAAGCGAGCAUGUUGUCUAUCCUCAUUGCUCAUCAGAGCUCUUGAUUGCUUGGAAAGAGAGAUCGCCGCGCUUGGUUUUAGCUGUCGACUUGUCGACCAGCUCUUAACUUUGCCGGCGUCUUUAAUGAUUGCUACCUGGUUGAUCCUGCCAGUAGUCAUAUGCUUGUCUCAAAGAUUAAGCCAUGCA